GAAGCUGCCAAUGUCGCUUCUCUCUCCCUCAUUCUCGCAGAGCCGCCUCUCCCUUCCCAUCGGGCGCGUGCGUGCGUGCUCCUCUGGCCGCCAAGCACCAAGCUCACACCAGCCACUACCUCAGGCCACCAUGUCGCUUGCCCCAGCCCCAAUCUUGCCCAGGUCAUUGUGUCGUCCCCUGCUCGGACCUCCACCAGGUCGCGUCCUCGCUGGUGGCCAGUGCCGCUGCAUUGCCCUUUCCAGCAUCGGCCAUGGCACCCACUUCCCCAACACCUAGGGCCAAGCCUCGCCACCGUGCCUUGUCUUGGAGCUCCGAAGAAUGAGCAUAGGCUUCCCCUGCAAGCCCCACCGCGUCGCCGCUCCUGCCAGCCAUGGGCGUACGCCCCCUCGAGCUCGUCCGGCGAGUCAUGCCUUGUCCACGUCGAGCUCCUCCCCUGGAAGCUGUCUCUGAGCCCGACCGCAAGCUGUCAUGUGUCCUGCUCCAUCUUCCAGCCGAGUCCCUCUCUGCUCCAGCCAUGGUGGCCGUCAGCUUGGAGCUCUGUGAUGACUCCAUGCCGCGCCCCUCUUCAAGCUGGCAGCUCCACCUCAAAAUUCGUUGCGCGACCUUGCCUCUCCCUCGGCUCGCAUGCUUGAUCUCCCUGCUCCUUCCGUCGCCGACCUUGGGAGUCUAGUUCCUCGACGCGCUCCACCUAUUCGCUGUUUGCCCCACCCAGUGGAUAGCGGCGCUCGCCACUCCAGACAUAGAUAUCCAUGCCUCGUAGUUCGCCCUCAGGUGGCGUCGUUGAUCUCGUCUCUGCCAUCGAAUUCGCCUUACAUCUUCGCUCCCAUUGUCGCAGAGACCCCACCAGCUCUGCACGCCAUCCACGCUUUGUGUUCGCAUCGGCAUCCCAUGAAUGUGUGGUGAAGACAGUUCGAGCACAACCCCUGCCAAGUGUUCGAUGGAAAGUCUGAACCAAGAUUCAUCGUCGAUUUGUGAUUAUCAAAUUGUUUUGGUCGUGGUA